UAUUCAUAGUGUGGGAAUUGCAAUAAAAAUGAUUUCGAGCAAUCUCAUACUUUAUGAAAGGACUCAGUAUCCUUUUGAUAAAAAUCAGAAAUUUCAACUCUUAAUUC
rfam:Ricinus communis cultivar Hale ctg_1100012356885, whole genome shotgun sequence.